CUAUGUUGCCCAGGCUGGUUUCAAACUCCUGGCCUCAAGUGCUUCUCCUGCCUUCCAAAGUGCUGGAAUUAUAGACAUGAGCCACCACACCUGGCCAAAACAUUUUUAUUUUUAUUUUAGAGCUGGAUCCUCACUCUGUGAGACCAGGCUGGAGUACAGUGGUGUUAUCGUAGCUCAGCUGCACCUUCGAACUCCUGGGCUCAAGCAGUCCUCCUUCCUCAGCCUCCUACAUAGCUAGGACUACAAGUCUGCACCACCAUGCCUUGCUAACUUUUAAAAAAUCUUUCGUAGAGGGGGUUCUUGCUAUGUUGCUCAGGCUGGUCUAGAACUCCUGGCCUCAAGCAAUCCUCCCACUUGAGCUGUGGGAUUAUAGGCAUGAACCACAGUGCCUGGUUAGUGUUCUUUUAAUACUCAGGUAAUGAAUCCAAAUCCAUCCUGUGACGUGCACAAAACUGAUUUUGUUAUCGUUCACUGGAUUCCCAGUAAUUUCUAAAACUCAGCAGUGGGGACAGUUGGUCCACAAAAUCACAUGAACAUGGUCAGUUGCCUCAGCACCAUCCUCACUCAGUCUCUCAGGACCCUACACCAUCUACCUGCGGGGAAAGUGGAUUUGCACCCACCCACCCUCCAUCCAUGCCCAGCUACUUACACAGCUCCACUUUAAGCCCAUGGACCCUAAAGCCGCUGCCAGAGCCCAGCUUCCAAUGGGUUUUUUUAAUUGAAGUAGAAGUGCCUGCUAAGAGACCUCCCAAAGAUCCCCUGCCUUCAGCCCAGACAAGUCUUCUUCUCAUUGACAACAACACUCGUUCUGUGGGCUGUAGUGGCUUUAUUUGCAUAGCCUCAUUUCCUCUGUUCUAAUGCACCAAUUGUGGGAAUGCAUACUGCAAAUUUAGUAGUAGAAUUUUGUGGAGGAAAAAAAUCUAUCAUAUUGAAUAUAUAUGUUGAUUUUUUAUGAUAUCAAAUUUAUUGAGGUGUUUAUAUGUAGUUUAUAUAUAGUUUAUAAACUAUAAAAUGCACCCAUUCUAACUGUACAUUUCAAUUAGUUUGGUUAGUUUAUACCCCUGUAUAGCCAUGACCACAAUUAAGACAUGGAACAUUUCUGUUACCCCAGAAAGUUCCCUUGUGUCUCAUUCCAGAUAAUUCCCUCCACCCCUGUCCCUGGGAAACUCCUGAUCUGCUUUCUGUCAUUUAGAUUGAAUUUGUGUUUUCUAGAGUUUUCUAUAUGGAAUGCCAUAAUAUGUCUGCUUUUGUGUCUAGAUUCUUUCGCUCAGCAUAAGGUUUGAGAUUCAUCUGCAGGGUCAAAUAGAAGGUAUCAAGCAUGACCAUAGUUCAUUCCUUUUCAUUGCUGAAUAGUAUUCCUGUCUCUUUGUUUUGAUAUGUUGCUUUUCUUUUGCAUUUUCCAACUUUAUUAAAGAAUAAUUAACAUAUACUAAAUUGCAUAUAAAAUGUGUACAAUCUAACCAGUUUUAACAUAUGCGUAUAUCCAUGAUGUGCACACAGACUUUUAUGAAUCAGAACUAUAACAAAACAGUGCAGCUUAGAUCAUUGAAAUAUUAGGUUGAAUAACUCUUUUAUUCAAGUCCUUUCCAGAACUCUGGGUUAGUAUUUGCCUUGCAUUUGGCAAACCAAAGAAUCAUUGAUUAUUUUCCUCCAAAACACAUCUGCUCUAAGGAGACUUGCUACCUCUGAGGAAGAACAUUUUAGUCUCUCUGCUGCAAAACAAACAAACAAAAAACCUAAAACAAAAAGCAAUGCUUAUAGUGCAUCUCACUACAUUUGAUAUUUCUAUGAAAGGACUCUGAACUGCAGUGACAUGAACGUAACCCAAACUGGCUCAAGAAGAAAAAAGCAGGGAGACGGGCAGGAUUUAUUGACUAACAUAGAUGAAAGCGUGAGGGCUUCAGGCAUAGCUGUAUCCAGGAGCUAAAACAUCAUCAGGACUCCGUCUCUCUUCCUCUUUUUCCCUCUCUCUAGAGGCUGCUUUCCUCCCUGUUAGCUUCAUUUUCUCCAUGUGGUGGACUGUGGCAGAAGCCACUUUGGAUGUUUACCUUGGGGGAAAUUGAAUGCAGGGAAUUGGUUACAGAGAUGAUGGAGCUGCUGAGAAGACAGCAUGGCCAUGUUGAAUAACCCAGGGAUUAGUGAUAGGAGGAAGGCACUGCCUCCUUUAUAUCAGAGAGACAAAGAGGGAAGGAUGGUGUAACUGGAACCCAGGGGUUUGGGGAUACCUGAGAGAAGCUGGAGCCAGAGUAGGGCAGCCUGGUGGGGCACUGGAGCCGCAGAGGAACUGCAGCUGCUGCCGGAGAUGCCUCCCAAGGCCAGCAGGGAGAGGGAGGAAUAGCCCCGCUUCUCUCUACUUUCACCCUCAGCCUCCCCCAGUGCCUUUCUUGGCCCAACCCAGCUGGAAGCCAGAUGGCAAGAAUGCCCAGGAAAUGCAGGCUGCAGGGGUUAGCCCCAGGGAUACCAACAAGACAGAGGAAGAGGAAGGAAGUGGGAGACACAGUCUGAGGGCAGGAGACCCACCCCAGCACAAUCCCCUUGGAAAGUGAGCUUGUGAAUGGUUCCAACAGAAGUCUGGGAACAGAGUCUGAUGUGUACAGGUGUGGUUAUCAGGCCCCCUCCAGAGGUAGGAGGCUGGCAGAGGAUGGGGAACCAGCAACACAGACACCAAGCAGAGCCGGAGAGACCCAAAGCAAAGUCAAAGUGCUCUUCCCUGACAUGGAUGUGGGGCUGACAAACACCGGUGUCCACCACAUGCUGCUCCAGUUGGACACGUGCUAGAGGCCACACAAUUGCAAAUGGCCCAGCUCAGGCUGUUUCCACAGAGGAGAACUUCAAGUUUGCUGUGAUGCCAAACCAUGGCCAAGGUCAAGACCUUACUGAUACAUUUCUGGUCCCUGGGAAAGCAAGAAGGGGAAGAAAACGAUGAAGCAGCACUAUUUCUGCCCCUUCCAAUGAGGCGCCCUGAUUCCCAAGCCUGGAGUUUGCAGCAUGAGGCCCAGGGCCCAGGUGGGAAGAGUGGCUUAACAUCCAGGCCCCGGGAAAUGCAAAAAGCAAAUGACUCACUGGUCUUCAAUAGCACAUUACCUUCUAAAGGAGACACUUUGCAACCCAAAUAUCGAGGCCAGAGGAUUUCCUACGAGUCUUUUAUGAUCUCUAAAAAUUUCAAGAGAGAGAAUUGGUGAGCAACUGGGCUCUGUCACUGUCGGGCUCGCUGAUUGAACGUGCCUUUAAUGGAGUCUCCGGCAGCCAUAAAAAUGUAUGAAAACAGCCUUCUGGCCACAAGCAAGCCUGAUAGAUGGGGCAGUGACACUCAGGAAAAGCCAGAUGGCCUGGGCUUGUCCUCAUGCCUGUUGAAGAGGAUACAUCUUGGUCUCUUAAGAUAGAACUUGUGUUUGGAGACACAUUAGGCAUUCGACAUACAAUUUCUCCACAGGGGAAGAUACAUACACACACACACACACACACACACACACACACACACACACACACACAUAUGCACACACAAUCAAAACAUUGCAUGAGGAUAGCUUUACAUGACAGUGUACCCCAGUAGUUAAAGGCUUGGGCACCGUAGUGAGUUAAAUAGUGUUCCUCUCCCAAAAAAAUUUCUGUCCACCCAGGACCACAGAAUGUGACCUUAUUUGGAAAUAGAGUCUCUGUAGAUGUCAUUUUCCAUACCAUUUUAAAGUCUGUUUGUUCCACUACACACUGAGGAUAUUAAUAAUGAUACCCACAGACAAAAUGAGCAGAGGAUAAAGAGCAUGUAUGAUCAUCUAAUAAAUGCACAAGCUAUGUGUCGACUGUUGUUACUACGUAUGAGAAAAAAGAGAAAGAGGGAAGGAAGGAGGGAGGAAAAAGGGGAGGAAGGAAGGAAGCUAUUAAAAGCUGGCUAAUUCACAUCAUAACCCUGAAAUAAUAGAAGAGCAUCCUAAAAGAGAUCUCGCUUAGCAGACAAGUUGCCUUCCUUCUCCAUAACCCUCUAAUUAUAGCACUUCAGAGCCCUCUUAACUUAAAUCUCCUAGAGAAGGGUGCACAUGCUCAUGACAUUCUUUCCUGCCUUCUGCUGUGAUGAAGCUGCACCGCUAGCUUAGCCCUAGACACCCCCUGUCCCAGUCAGAUGGUCACCUGAUGGUGCAAGCCGGCCAGAAAGUUCAGGAGUCCAAUUCAACACUCAGAUAUGAAAAUGCACAGAACCCCUUUAUUCCUGACAUGGGCAUAUGGUACAAAUCAUUUGGCAUGCACUAAAUCAUUAGAAUACUCGUUUAUUUUGGAACGUAUAUGAAGUGAGCAGAAUAAGGCAUGUACUGUUUUCAAGAGAACUCAUUUCCUCUGCUGGGGGCAAAAGACCGCUCUUGGCAAGGUAUUCUUUGAAAGUAAAUUAUCUUCAGAGGAAAGCACGUGCUGUUCUAAAGGAGAACGUAGCUCCCUACAGAUUCUCAAGUUCAAGGGGUGUCUGUGUAGGUGCAUGCACACAUAUAUGUAUUACAUGCAACAACAAUUAAUAUAUGUAUUACAUGCAACAAUUAAUGGUUGGAAAACCAUUAAUCAUAUUUAUUUAAAAUUGAAAAGACAUAUAUAUUCAAAAUAACAGUUUUAAUAAGUUCGAAAGUUUUGCUCACACAUAAAUAAGAGAAAUCCAGAGACAGAUAGUUUAGUGAUAGUAUGGUGGCUCCAUGGUGUCAUCAGAUAUGCAGGCUCAUGUCUUUAUGCUUUGUUAAACUCAAAGUGAGUGUCUUCCUUCUUUAGAGUAACCCUCUGGCCCAAGAUGGCUGCUGGAGCCUCAGCUACUACAUGUGGAUUCCAGGCCAGAAGUAGAGGGAGGGGAAAACAAAGGAGUAUACCUUCCGGGGAUAUCAGCUUUUUUGUAUCAUCUUCCUGAGGUCCUGUGCAUUUCCAUAGUCACAUAUAUGCCCCUAACCGUCUUCUCAGGCCUUAAAUGUUUGGGCGUGUUGUGAAUCUCCAAGACUGAGCCACAAGAUGCAGCAUUUUCCUAAUGACCUCAGGCCCUUUUUGAAUGGGCACUUUUGGGAAUCAGCGUUCUGCAAAGCAUACCUUGGGAAGCCACAGAGAGCUUUUCCCUGAAGCAGGGUUUCUCAACCUGUACGUUGUUGGCAUUUGGGGCAGGAUAAUUCUUAGUUGUGGGCGGCUGUCCUGUGCAUUGGAGGGUAUUUACCAGCAUCCCUGGCCUCUGCUCACCAGAUGCCAAUAGCAAUUCCUCCCCCACCCUGUUGUGACAACCAAAAGUGUCCCCAGGUAUUGCCAAAUGUUCCCUGCUGGCAAAAUGGCCCUCAGAUGAGAACCUUUACUCUAGGGAAAUUUCUAGAAUCAAGAAAAUACAUUGCAAUGAUAGGAGAGACCACUCUCUCAGGUAUGAAUAUUCAGCUGACUGUUAGAGUCCUUGGCAAUAAGAUUGUUAUUUUUUAAAAGAGACAGUAUUACUGGUGAAGAUUCAUUUCAAAAAUGGAAAUGAAAAUAAAAGUUGCUGUUUCUAUGAUAACUAAGUCAAAAACUUAUGGAAAUUUAUGGAACAAGUGCG
ensembl:lncRNA LINC00870 long intergenic non-protein coding RNA 870